AACAACGCUGGCGGCGUGCCUAACACAUGCAAGUCGUACGAGAAAGUCGGCUUCGGCCGAUGAGUACAGUGGCGCACGGGUGAGUAGCGCGUGGGUAAUCUGCCCCCGGUCGAGGAAUAACCCGCCGAAAGGCGGGCUAAUACCCGAUAACACUGACGCUCCGCGGAGCGUCUUUCAAAGAAGGCCUCUGUUUACAAGCUUUCGCCGGAGGAUGAGCCCGCGUACCAUUAGCUAGUUGGCAGGGUAAUGGCCUACCAAGGCUACGAUGGUUAGCUGGUCUGAGAGGAUGGCCAGCCACACUGGAACUGAGACACGGUCCAGACUCCUACGGGAGGCAGCAGUGAGGAAUCUUGCGCAAUGGGGGAAACCCUGACGCAGCAACGCCGCGUGAGUGAGGAAGGCCUUCGGGUCGUAAAGCUCUGUCAGAUGGGAAGAAAUGGAUGGGGGCUAAUAUCGCCCAUCCUUGACGGUACCAUCAGAGGAAGCACCGGCUAACUCCGUG
rnacentral:rRNA from 1 species